AUACUUACCUGGCAGGAGACAUGCCAUUAUCACAAAGGUAGUUUCACCAGGGAGAGGCUUAUCCAUUGCACUCUGCAUGUGCUGACCCCAGCAAUUUCCCCAAAUGUGGGAAACUUGAUUACAUAAUUUGUGGUAGUGGGUGACUGUGUUCUCUCUCUCCCCUG
rnacentral:snRNA from 1 species